rnacentral:lncRNA from 1 species
GGCCUGGGAACGGCGAGUCCCCUCUCCCCUUCCUCCGCCGUUCCCCCUCUACCCUCCUCCACUGGUGAUGCCCUUCUCUCCCCUCCUUCCCCCGUUGAAUGGAGUGGAGAAGGCAGCGGAUGAAUAUUUGAGCACACCCGUCGCCUCUCUAACUGGUGGAUUAAACGAUAAUGAUCAGAUUAGUUUGGGAUAAUUUACCCAUCUAACUGAAGAACAGAAAUAAUUAUCAUAACUUAUUUUAUUGAGAUCUAAAACCCAAAACUCAUAUAGACUUAUUACUCUCUCAUUCCUUCCUCUCUCUCUCUCUCUCUCUCUAAAUUAGAUAUCGCCUUUUGCAGCGGCGACAUCCUGUAGUGAAAAAAAGUAGCUUGCCCUUCGAUGUCAUCCUCCCAGAAGGAAGCUUUAUGUAAAAACAUUCUGUUGAAAUGGCCAGUCGCUUGCAUUCCUGAGAGGAGACUCCGGAAGAUGAGCUUAGGAGCCUGUGAAUCUGAUAAAACUCUGUUCAACUACCCGAGAAAUUAAGAGCCUUCUCUCGGAAUGAAGAAGAAGAAGGAGAAGGAAGAAGAAGGAGAAAGAAGAAGAAGAAGAAGAAGAAGAAG